rnacentral:rRNA from 1 species
GGGUUCGAUUCUGGCUCAGAUUGAACGCUGGCGGCAGGCCUAACACAUGCAAGUCGAACGGUAACAGGAGAAGCUGCUCUUUGCUGACGAGUGGCGGACGGGUGAGUAAUGUCUGGGAAACUGCCUGAUGGAGGGGGAUAACUACUGGAAACGGUAGCUAAUACCGCAUAACGUCGCAAGACCAAAGAGGGGGACCUUCGGGCCUCUUGCCAUCGGAUGUGCCCAGAUGGGAUUAGCUAGUAGGUGGGGUAACGGCUCACCUAGGCGACGGAUCCCCUAGCUGGUCUGAGAGGAUGACCAGCCACACUGGAACUGAGACACGGUCCAGACUCCUACGGGAGGCAGCAGUGGGGAAUAUUGCACAAUGGGCGCAAGCCUGAUGUAGCCAUGCCCGCGUGUAUGAAGAAGGCCUUCGGGUUGUAAAGUACUUUCAGCGGGGAGGAAGGGAGUAAAGUUAAUACCUUUGCUCAUUGACGUUACCCGCAGAAGAAGCACCGGCUAACUCCGUGCCAGCCGCCGC